rnacentral:rRNA from 1 species
GGAUUAGAUACCCUGGUAGUCCACGCAGUAAACGAUGGAUACUAGAUGUUUGGAGUAUUAACCCUCUAAGUAUCGUAGCUAACGUAUUAAGUAUCCCGCCUGGGGAGUACGGUCGCAAGGCUAAAACUCAAAGGAAUUGACGGGGGCCCGCACAAGCGGUGGAGUAUGUGGUUUAAUUCGAUGCAACGCGCAGAACCUUACCUGGGUUUAACAUCCCUUGACAGCUAUAGAGAUAUAGUGUUCUUUUCGGAGACAAGGAGAUAGGUGCUGCAUGGCUGUCGUCAGCUCGUGCUG